rnacentral:tRNA from 1 species
UAGCCUAGUGGUUAAGGCUACGGAUCGCCAAUCCGGAGACGGUGGGUUCGAUUCCCGU